GGCAUAAACAGGAGCUCUUCCUGGGAAGGUGGCGGGUGGGGGGAAAGUGGCUAACUACCACUCUCAUGAGUUCUUUUCCCUCGGCAUUCCGUUUCCCAGGUCCUAGGUGUGGUGCAGAGAUCCCCAGGUCUUCUCUGAAGAGCAAGGCUCCAGGCUGCUCAGCAGGGCACCUGCUGCCUGGGAACAGAUGCUAUCGGGUAAGAAUAGACUUGUCAGUGGCGCAGGAUGCUCAGGCACAGCUGAGCUGCUUGACUCUUCAGGGCUGACGUGCUUUUCAGCUUUGAGAGCAGCUUCCACGGUGCAGCAAGAACACAGAACACUGCCGCUCAAGCCUAUCCCAAGACCCAGGAAGGGAGUGUUGAGUUAGGCAUCCCUGGGGCUCAGAGUAGGGAGAUCUGUGAUGGGAGCUUAUUCUGGGAUUUCUGGAAUCCAAUUAUUCCAGAUACUGGGGUGAUUAAACUCUUUCCUGCUGGAGGGCAAAGAAUACAGGCAGCAGAACAAGCCCCAAGGCCACCGCCGCUUUGUGAUCUUACGGCUGCUGAGUGACAGCCUUCGGAGUCAACUGGUGUCACCUUUGACCUUCAGAGACAACUCAGGGGACCUCCCCUUUUCUCCAUUUUUCAAGCAACCCAAAGGCUCAAAUUCUAAGGAACCACGAUUCGACCACCAGCUAGAGUCCACCUGCCAGUGAGGUCUGCAAACUCAGAACAGCUUCCGGUGGCCACUCUCCUCUUUUCCCACAGGACUAUGUAACCACCUCUCUAGAAGACAGUCACGUGAAUCUGGGGCUGCUAUGAAUUUACAACUGGUAUCGGGCCAGCAUGAGAGCUGCGACGCUUGGAGUGAAAGGCGGGGGUGGUGUGGCCUUUUACAAAACAAAACCAGAAAGUCCUACACUUUUUUUUUUCCCCCUUAAAAUCCCAAUUUAGAAUCUAAGUUUUCACCAAUGUCAGAAAUGGAUACUUUCUGCUUCCUGCCCACUCUCUUGACGCAAGGGAUGCAUCUACUUGUAGAGUGCUCGUGCAGUUGUAGAAAGGGAGAUGAUGGGGGCCUGUGUGCGAGGGCCUAAGGAAAGUCCUGCACUUACCCCAUGUGUGCAGAGAGGGCAUCCAGGGUGACAUGAGUCUCGUGUCCCCUCACAUGCUCCCAAGACUGCAUGUGCACCCAAUAGCACAGGUAGUUAUUAUUUUCAUAAACAGAAAAUCAGAAGGGAUGUUUAAGUUCUACAAAAAUAUUCUGGGCCUCGCAUCUCUCAGUUAUGAAUGUCCUUGAGUCUAUCUGGGUUGUUUAUCUGGGAGGAUGUCGGAUGUCCUCAGGCCUCUCAUUUUAGAGAUCAGGAAACGGGCGCCCAGAAAGGUCAAGCAAGUUGCCCAAGGUUGUAAAAGGGAAGAACUCUGUGUAAACAAUGUGAUUUCCAAGGGAUCUUUUCCCAUCCAGCUCAGCCAGGACUAGAACUGGUUUUUACCACACAUGGUCAGUGGGAGGUAGGGGUCUUUUUUUUUUUUAAGAGCAAGUCCACUGUGCACUAAUUGGCUCUCGGUCAGCUGUCUUUUCUCCAGUGGUGAGGCCCCCUCUUAGCUGCCCAGCAUCUCUCUCUCUCUCUCUGGUUUAUACUUUAACAAUGAAGAAAAGGAUAUCUCAGAAAGCAGAAAACCCAGGAGAAGGCCCUGACAGAAAACAAAAAUAAACAUGACUCGAUCAUCUAGAUUUUGAUAAUUUUUUGUCUACUAAAGCAAAACAGAAAGCUUACAUGACCGUCGAAGAGAAGUGGCCUAUUAUUUUGGCCUGGGAUCAGACGUAUUCUUCAUUAAAACAUUGAUGUGCUUGCUUGCUCUGUUGGUCAUGACCCCCCUCUCUGGCUAGUUGGGAAAUUAAGUGGAAUAAAGACACUCAAAUGUCACAUUAUCAUCA